rnacentral:rRNA from 1 species
CAAUAGCGUAUAUUAAAGUUGUUGCAGUUAAAAAGCUCGUAGUUGGAUUUCUGGUGGGAGCGAUCGGUCUGGCGCUUAGCGCGAGUACUUGCAUCGUCUCCGGCCAUCCUUGGGGAAAGUCUGUCUGGCAUUAAGUUGUCGAGCAGAGGAUCCUCAUCGUUUACUGUGAAAAAAUUAGAGUGUUCAAAGCAGGCUUAUGCCGUUGAAUAUAUUAGCAUGGAAUAAUAAGAUAGGACUUUGGUACUAUUUUGUUGGUUUGCGCACCAAAGUAAUGAUUAAUAGGGACAGUUGGGGGUAUUCGUAUUCCGUUGUCAGAGGUGAAAUUCUUGGAUUUACGGAAGACGAACUACUGCGAAAGCAUUUACCAAGGAUGUUUUCAUUAA